rnacentral:rRNA from 1 species
AUAAGGUUAAGGAACAAAGGGCACACAGUGGAUGCCUUGGCACCAAGAGGCGAUGAAGGACGGAACUAACACCGAAAUGCUCGGGGAAGCUGUAAGUAAGCGACGAUUCCGAGAUGUCCGAAUGGGGGAACCCACUAUGUUGAAGACAUAGUAUCUAACACACGUGUUAGAGGCAAUACGUAGGGAACUGAAAUAUCUAAGUACCUACAGGAAAAGAAAGUAAUAACGAUUCUGUCAGUAGCGACGAGCGAACGCGGAGGAGCCAGAUACCUAAGGUUACAAAAUUAUAUAAUAGAUGAACGAUGUGGGAAAAUCGGUCGAAGAAGGUGAGAGCCCUGUAGUCGAAAUUAUAUAAUCCAUGGUAUCAGAAAGUAGGGCGGGACACGUGGAAUCCCGUUUGAAGAUAGGAGGACCAUCUCCUAAGGCUAAAUACUACUUGGUGACCGAUAGUGAACCAGUACAGUGAUGGAAAGGUGAAAAGAACCCCGGGAGGGGAGUGAAAGAGAACCUGAAACUGUGUGCUUACAAUUAGUCAGAGCCCGUUAAUGGGUGAUGGCAUGCCUUUUGUAGAAUGAACCGGCGAGUUAUGUUACAUAGCAAGGUUAAGGAUGAAGGUCCGGAGCCGAAGCGAAAGCGAGUCUGAAUAGGGCGCUUAAGUUGUGUGAUGUAGACCCGAAACUGGGUGAUCUAGCCAUGAGCAGGUUGAAGUAAGGGUAGUACCUUAUGGAGGACCGAACCGCCGCCUGUUGAAAAAGGCUCGGAUGACUUGUGGCUAGGGGAGAAAUUCCAAUCGAACUCAGAGAUAGCUGGUUCUCCCCGAAAUAUCUUUAGGGAUAGCGUCAACAAAAUAGGUUUAUCGAAGGUAGAGCACUGAAUGUGUGAUGGCCCCACCUCGGGGUACUGAUCUCAAUCAAACUCCGAAUGUCGGUAAAGUAAGUUGGCAGUCAGACUACGGGUGAUAAGGUUCGUGGUCAAAAGGGAAAGAGCCCAGACCGCCAGAUAAGGUCCCAAAAUAUAUGCUAAGUGGAAAAGGAAGUAGAGAUGCACAAACAGCCAGGAGGUUGGCUUAGAAGCAGCCAUCCUUUAAAGAGUGCGUAAAAGCUCACUGGUCGAGUGACUCUGCGCCGAAAAUGUACCGGGGCUAAGCAUAUUACCGAAGCUGCGGAUUUAAAAAGAUUUUUUAAGUGGUAGGGGAGCGUUCCUAACAGCGGUGAAGCUAGAUCGUGAGGACUAGUGGAGCGUUAGGAAGUGAGAAUGCCGGUGUAAGUAACGAAAAGACAGGUGAGAAUCCUGUCCGUCAUAAACCCAAGGUUUCCAGGGGAAGGUUCGUCCGCCCUGGGUAAGUCGGGGCCUAAGGUGAGGCUGAAGAGCGUAGCCGAUGGAUAACUAGUAGAGAUUCUAGUACCAGUGUAGUGACUGAUGGAGUGACAAAGAAGGAUAGGCGUCCACCCUUAAUGGAUUGGGUGAGAAGGAUUCGAGGCUAGUACUUAGGCAAAUCCGGGUACUGUUAAAGCUGAGAACUGAUAUAAAGACGUACGAGUUCAUGCUUUCAAGAAAAGCUUCUAAGGUUAAUCAUUAUACUGCCCGUACCGUAAACCGACACAGGUGGGUGAGUAGAAUAUAUUAAGACGCGCGAGAAAACUGUUGUUAAGGAACUCGGCAAAUUGACCCCGUAACUUCGGGAAAAGGGGGACUCCUUAUGAAAACGAGGAGUCGCAGAGAAAAGGCCCAAGCGACUGUUUAGCAAAAACACAGGUCUCUGCAAAACCGUAAGGUGAAGUAUAGAGGCUGACGCUUGCCCGGUGCUGGAAGAUUAAGAGGAGAUGUCAGGGUUAAACCGAAGCAUUGAAUUGAAGUCCCAGUAAACGGCGGCCGUAACUAUAACGGUCCUAAGGUAGCGAAAUUCCUUGGCGGGUAAGUUCCGUCCUGCACGAAAAGCGUAACGAUUUGGGCACUGUCUCAACAACAGACUCGGUGAAAUCAAGCUGCCGGUGAAAACGCCGGCUACCCGCGAUUAGACGAAAAGACCCCAUGGAGCUUCACUGUAACUUGAUAUUGAAACUGGGUGUAAGAUGUACAGGAUAGGUGGGAGGCUAUGAAGAUAGUACGCUAGUAUUGUCGGAGCCAACGUUGGGAUACCACCCUUCGUGCACUUAGUUUCUAACUUCUAGAUGUGUAAUCUAAAGGACAGUGUCUGGUGGGCAGUUUGACUGGGGCGGUCGCCUCCCAAAGAGUAACGGAGGCGCUCGAAGGUUACCUCAGAAUGGUUGGAAAUCAUUCUAUAGAGUGCAAUGGCAGAAGGUAGCUUGACUGCGAGACCAACAAGUCGAGCAGGGACGAAAGUCGGACAUAGUGAUCUUACGGUACCGAAUGGAAGGGCCGUGACUCAACGGAUAAAAGUUACCCUGGGGAUAACAGGCUUAUCGCUUCCAAGCGUUCACAGCGACGAAGCGGUUUGGCACCUCGAUGUCGGCUCGUCGCAUCCUGGAGCUGGAGUAGGUUCCAAGGGUUGGGCUGUUCGCCCAUUAAAGCGGCACGCGAGCUGGGUUCAGAACGUCGUGAGACAGUUCGGUCUCUAUCUAUCGUGGGCGUUGGAAAUUUGAAGGGAGCUGUUCCUAGUAUGAGAAGACCGGAAUGGACGCACCCCUGGUGCACCAGUUAGUACGCCAGUACUACAGCUGGGUAGCUAUGUGCGGAAGGGAUAAACGCUGAAAGCAUCUAAGCGUGAAGCCCCCCUUAAGAUGAGAUUUCCCAAUUAGUAAGACCCCUCAAAGACUAUGAGGUUGAUAGGCCAGGUGUGUAAGUACAGCGAUGUAUUCAGCUUACUGGUACUAAUAGGUCGAGGACUUAACCUU